rnacentral:rRNA from 1 species
CAGCAGCCACGGGAAUACGUAGGGGGCGAGCGUUAAUCGGAAUUACUGGGCGUAAAGCGUGCGCAGGCGGUUGUGUAAGACAGGUGUGAAAUCCCCGGGCUUAACCUGGGAACUGCGCUUGUGACUGCACAGCUAGAGUAUGGCAGAGGGGGGUGGAAUUCCACGUGUAGCAGUGAAAUGCGUAGAGAUGUGGAGGAACACCAACGGCGAAAGCACUCUGCUGGGCCGACACUGACACUGAGAGACGAAAGCUAGGGGAGCAAAUGGGAUUAGAUACCCGGGUAGUCCCUGUCUCUUAUAC